CCAGGACUUGUCAUCUCCAGUUUCAUGAACCCCAAAGUGGCAUAGAAGCAGAAAACUACCAUCCUUUAAGGAAACUGUGGAUAUGGACAAACAUCCACAUACUAGCCCAAUGACCAUGACAAACUCAAAGUUAGAAGUUUUCCUUCUAUUUUCUAGCAACCUUGUUAGUUUGGUGGGAACUUCUGAGGUGACACAGCCCUAAUAGUGACUGACAAUACAUUUCUCACCAGCUCAUCAGGGAAGAGUAUCUAAGUCAAAUUUAAUUUGAAUUAGGAAAAAAAUUACAAUACGCUAUUUCUUGCUUUCUUUUUUUUUUUUUUUUUUUUUUUUUUUUUUUUUUGAGAUGGAGUCUUACUCUGUUACCCAGGCUGGAGUGCAAUGGCGCAAUCUCGGCUCACUGAAACCUCCACCUCCUGGGUUCAGGUGAUUCUCCUGCUUCAGCUUCCAGAGUAGCUGGGAUUACAGGCACCUGCCACCAUCCCCAGCUAGUUUUCGUAUUUUUAGUAGAGACGGGGUUUCACCAUGCUGGCCAGGCUGGUCUCGAAAUCCCGACCUCAGGCGAUCCACCCGCCUCGGCAUCCCAAAGAGCUGGGAUUACAGGCGU
rnacentral:lncRNA from 10 species